rnacentral:tRNA from 1 species
AAGAAUUUAGUUUAUUAAAAAAUAUUAAAUUGUAAAUUUAAAGAAUUAUUCUUAG